AUAUGUGUUCCAAAGACGAAGCGUGGUACGGGGUUUAGAGACCUUCACAACUCUAAUCUUGCUAUGUUAGCAAAGCAAUGUUGGCGACUUCUCCAAAGUCCUGACUCUGUGUGUGUGCAACUGUUGAGUGCUAAGUAUUAUCCAAAUGGUGAUCUAUUAAAAGAAGGACCAAAGAAAGGUUCUUCAUUUAUGUGGCAAAUCAUUGUUGCAGGAAUUCAUAUUUUCAAAAGGGGAUGCAUAUGGCGAAUGUGUUUGGGCUCACAUAUCAAUAUUUGGGACCACCCUUGGAUUCUCUCUAGGGAAUCAAGAAGAAGCAUUACCCCAAAGGGAGGACUAGUGUUAACUAAGGUGGAAGAAAUUACUGAUCCCCAUACGGGACAAUGGGAUGAGGUGCUCCUUCGCAAUGUUUUCUUACCUGUUGAUGUUAAAAGAAUAAUGCAAAUCCAUUUUCAUGUCGAAGUUGUGGAAGACUUUGUGGCUUGGCACUUCACAAGGUCAGGAACUUUUUCAGUUCAUUGGGCCUAUCAUCACGAAUUCGAUCAUCAGUUUGGGCACCAUUACUCCAGACCAGACAAUACAACAAGUACUCACAUAAACACGGUUUGGAAAGACCUAUAA
rnacentral:rRNA from 1 species